GGAAGAGAUGGGGACUGGUGUCCCCGGCGGUCUUCAAAACCGUAGGCAGGCGGAUAAUACCGUCUGUGGUGGGUUCGAUUCCUGCCUCUUCCGCCA
rnacentral:tRNA from 1 species